rnacentral:lncRNA from 1 species
AGAGAUCUGUUUUAUUUCUUGCCACAUUUGUUUUGCAGUUAUGCCUGGUGAGUCCCCAGAUAUAAAAAAGCAGGGGCACUCUGAAAUCUGAACACCUUCACUCUCUUGUGCUGCAAUUGCAAAAGUGAGAGGAGGUUGUGUAUCUGCAGUCUUGUUCUAGUAAAUACACGAUGUUACUUAACAAACUUAAAGUCAGCAACGCAAAGCUAUUCAAAUAAUCAAACCAAGUUGAAAAUUUUUUUUAUCAUUGAUGACCUUAUGAUGCGACCCAGCCUACGAACCUAGCUAACACCAAACGAGAUCCCCUCGAGCUUCCCAUUGGACCAAUUACUCGAGCUUGAGCUAAGAGCUUGGGAGAAAGCUACAAAGGAGCUGGACGAACCAACAAGAUGCAUCUUCAACUUGCUGGAAGCUGAAUUCAAAUCAGCUAGCUCACUUAGCUAGCUAGACUUUGGACAUCUUAAUUAUUUCAGCUCAUUUAAUUAUAUUUAAGUUUACUACAGCUUAAUUACAUCUAUUAAAUGUGUUUUAGUUUAUUAAAUAUUUAUUUGUGUGUUUUUUAUUUAAAGAUUGUUUUUAAUUUUUCUUAACAUGAAUUAAAGCAUUUGGCUGGAAAUGCACAAUGCUGAUUCAUUGAAGCUCAUUCAAUAUGGCGCAUGUACCUGAAGAUGCAUGAACGUUGGAGCUGAUUAUUAGCUGAUCAUACAUGUAUCUUCUAAGUUCAUCAAAGUUAGUUAAUGUGGAAAUAUGUAUUCGACUAUGCAUGUACGGAGGACACUCUUUCUUCAGCUGAAUAUACAUGCAUCUAGCCGAUACAUUGUAGCUCAUUAAUGAAGAAUUCAUGCACCCAAUUGUGCAUGUACCUUGAGCUACUAGGUGCAUUUCCCAGUCAGAUCAUUCAUGUACUCUUUCCAACGAUUAUGAGCUGAUCAGCUACCUUUUCAAAUGAUCAUUUGUUUCUUGCUGUUCAUAUUUACAAAACUGAGUGUUCACACCUUGAAGACCAUUCGGUUGCAAGCAAGCACAUUCAUCAGCUACUUUUCAUUCGGUGCACCUCUUAGAUAUUACUUCCAUUCAACGAAUCCAGCUCCAUUCAACUCACUCAUCAGCACCAUGAACCAAGGCUAUUUCGGUAUCUUACUUAGUUAAAUUCAUUGGAUUAUUCUACCUGGAAAUUAAAUCACUUUAGCAUCAUGUACCUACAUUUAAAUCAUGUCCAUUUAGCUGGUUGUAUAUUAGCUUAAAAAUAGCCCAAUUGUAAACCUUUUGAAGGUUAACUAAGAACUUUUGACAUAUAUGAAUUAUAACUUUGUGAGUUAUUCACUCUCAUAUUUCUUUAAGAUUCAACUUGACUUAUCUAGUUAAACUAGUGGCGUCAUCCUUGUUUCUUUUUCGAACUUAUCACUCGUCCAAGUGUGGAGUUCAAACUUAUAUCGUUGGUUCCUAUCUUAUUAGAUAGUGGGUCACGAUCCUAUCCAGCUAUCCAUCUUUUCACCUUGAAACUUGUAAGAUUUGGGUCCUUAAUUGCUAUUGAGGGUUCUUUCUUGUUUUGAGUAAGAAAGCUCUUUCUUCUGGAAAGUAUCCCCAAUGAUACUAAAAUAAAAAAAAUAGAUUAAAUUGUGAGUAAAAAAAAUUUUAAACACAUAAAUACAACAAGUAAGAAUACUAAUAAAAUACAAUUUUUAUCAUGACGUUACCAUCAAUCUAUAGUCGGUGUCUAGUUAACUUGUAAAAUAAAGUGUGCAUAAUAAAACUAAAAUGUAAAAAAAUAAAAA